CCAGAUCGUAUCUGCCAAAGAAAUUAAUACAGUUACAUCAAAAAUCAAGAGUACUCUUAUCAAUUUUGGAGGUUAGGUGUGUAUGGCAGCCUGCACUUGAUGAAUGAGAACUUUGAAAAGAGAGCACAGAAGCGGAUAACAUAUUCCAUCAUGUUACUAGGAGAGGUAGCGCCAGACCUGAUUGGAUACGUAAAAAUGUCUCGAAUCAGCUCUUGGCGAAUGGAACACACAUGAGUGGAAGAAGAAGAGUGAACAUUCAAAGUUAAACAAAGCUUCUACUAAGGGUGGAGCAUUGCAUACUGGAGGUUCUAUUACUUUUGCAGCCCAUCGUUUGAGAUUGGAAAAGGAACGCGGGAGGAUGUGACUUAUGCUGAGGUCUUUGCGGAAACCCAUAAGAAGAAAAAGAACGGCACAAGGGAAUAAUGGGUCGAACCGCGUGCGUACUUCAGAGACAUUUGUAUCACAUUGAUCUUGAUGCAUGGCGACAAACUCAGCCUGAAGGAACUCAGCCGGCCCCAGAGAAUAUGAUUGCAAUUUGAACAUAGGCGGCUG